ACAACGAUUCCUAUCUACCCGAGAUUCCGAGAACCGUUUGCCUGUCAGUCGGGAAGACAUGCGGCCCUUAGAAAAUUCACAAAAUUACAAAAGAACGUUCUUGUAAAUUGCAUGUGUGCCACAGUGAAAUGUGAAAGCUUCUGAAAAAACCAUUAAAACUUUAAGUGACGUAUGGACAAAGGCGUCAAAGUAAUUCUGACGAGGAAAAUUUGAGAGGGCUACUAUAAGUAUAAGGAACUCUGGAAUGUUAGUGUAUUGGUGUUAACCAUUAUCAGCCCAGCCAACAAAUCUGGAACUCCUAUUGUUUUCAUUCGCGAUGGCUUAGUGUCCAUUUUGUCAGGGUGUUUGUAGAACGGUUGAGCAGAAUUGACAAACCCUUCACGAGGGGCAAGUGAGCUGCCAGCUGCUGUUUGUACCUCAGGAAGUAGUUCCUUCAAGCCUUAGUCAACAUCACCAAUGACAGGAGUAAGUUAAUGUCCCUAACGAUGCAUGUUAACAAGAUGAACCAUUAAGAUGCUAGACUGGUUUGGCAUCAGGUACAACAGUAUGAUAAACACAAAGUUUUGUGCACACCUGUCUAUCCUCUGCAAGCAACCAUAUCAAUACGACCUGUCAGAAUCAUGUCAAAAUAUGAAAAUAAAGAAAAUCAGAAAAGGAUGCAAGUCUGUGCCUGAUAUGUCAGAUACGUACUCUUGAAUCUGCAUCUCAAUUACAGACUUAUGUAUGCGAGAAGCCACCCACCAAAGACAGCUACACAAGUUUUGGGAGAAAUGGAGUUCGGAGUAUAUAAGAAAUUUGCCCUGUAACAUUUAAAGGUUUUGUGUCUAAAUGUAAUGUAAAGAAAGAUUAUAUGGUGUUGGUCAGUGAAGAUAAUGUUCCUAGGUUGUCUUGGCCCCUUGGAAUUAUUGUAAAAGUGUAUCCGGGUAAAGAUGGUUUAACUAGAAGCAUUGAUGUUAAAACUUCUAAGGGUGUUAUCAAUAGACCGAUACAAAAAUUACAUGAUCUUGAGAUUUCAAGUGCCUCUGACCUAGUACCUGAUUAUGAUGUACUUUGUAGUGAUACUCAUGAGAAUUCUUUGUCUGGACCCGUUUCUGGUAAUUCUUGUGAGGAUGUUGAUAAAGGUGAGUUUAGCACUGCUCAACCUGUUGUUGAACCUACAGUGUCUUAUACACGUAAGGGUCGUGCUGUAAGGGCACCAGUAAAAUUGAAUUUGUAAUAGUACUGUACCUUGUAUAUGCAUUUGAUCUUUUAUGUAUACAGGAGUAUUGGCAAGUACUCCUAUGGUGGGAAGGAUGUUAGAUAUGAGUAAACUCCCUAUUUGAUUAAUUUUAUUUUGUAAGUAAUUGUCUUUAAAUUUUCCCCUUUUGAUUUGAUUAAUUUGGUUGUAAAAGAUGAUUGAUUAUUUAGGUUUAGAUCAUUGAUAUUUAUUUACCAAGAGCUCUCUGGGAAAUUUUGUAUUUAAAUUAACAAAAAAUAAAGAAGAGCUCGGUAAAA